UACGGGGGGAGCAAGCGUUGUUCGGAUUUACUGGGCGUAAAGGGCGCGUAGGCGGUCAGCACAAGUCAGUUGUGAAAUCUCCGGGCUUAACUCGGAAAGGUCAACUGAUACUGUGCGACUAGAGUGCAGAAGGGGCAACUGGAAUUCCUGGUGUAGCGGUGAAAUGCGCAGAUAUCAGGAGGAACACCGGUGGCGAAGGCGGGUCUCUGGGCCGAAACUGACGCUGAGGAGCGAAAGCGUGGGGAGCGAACAGG
rnacentral:rRNA from 1 species